UUGCUGAGAGGCGAGGGUGCCUUCGGGAGCCAGAACACAGGUGCUGCAUGGCUGUCGUCAGUUCGUGCCGUGAGGUGUUUGGUUAAGUCCAGCAACGAACGCAACCCCUGUGUCCAGUUGCCAGCGCGUAAUGGCGGGAACUCUGGACAGACUGCCCGUUCACACGGGAGGAGGGUGGGGAUGACGUCAAGUCAGUAUGGCCCUUACAUCUGGGGCUGCACACGUGCUACAAUGGCCGGCACAAAGGGAAGCCAAGCCGCGAGGCCGAGCCAAUCCCCAAAACCGGCCCCAGUUCAGAUUGGGGUCUGCAACCCGACCCCAUGAAGUCGGAUUUGCUAGUAACGGCGCAUCAGCUACGGCGCCGUGAAUACGUUCCCGGGCCUU
rnacentral:rRNA from 1 species